rnacentral:rRNA from 1 species
CAGUCGCCGCGGUAAGACAGAGGAUGCAAGCGUUAUCCGGAAUGAUUGGGCGUAAAGCGUCUGUAGGUGGCUUUUCAAGUCCGCCGUCAAAUCCCCGGGCUCAACCCUGGACAGGCAGUGGAAACUACCAAGCUGGAGUACGGUAGGGGCAGAGGGAAUUUCCGGUGUAGCGGUGAAAUGCGUAGAGAUGUGGAGGAACACCAGUGGCGAAGGCGACUCUCUGGUCUGUAACUGACGCUGAGGAGCGAAAGCGUGGGGAGCGAACAGGAUUAGAUACCCCUGUAGUCCCUGUCUCUUAUAC